AUUGAACGCUGGCGGCAUGCUUUACACAUGCGAGUCGAACGGCAGCGCGGGCUUCGGCCUGGCGGCGAGUGGCGAACGGGUGAGUAAUGCAUCGGAACGUGCCCAGUAGUGGGGGAUAGCCCGGCGAAAGCCGGAUUAAUACCGCAUACGAGCUGAGGGUGAAAGCGGGGGACCGAAAGGCCUCGCGCGCUGGGAGCGGCCGACGUGGGAUUGGCUAGCUGGUGGGGUAAAGGCUUACUAAGGCGGCGAUCCGUAGAUGGUCUGAGAGGACGACCGGCCACACUGGGACUGAGACACGGCCCAGAGUACUGCGGGAGGCAGCAGUGGGGAAUUUUGGACAAUGGGGGCAAAUCUGAUCCAGCCAUGCCGAGUGCGGGAAGAAGGCGUUCGGGUUGUAAAGCGCUUUUGUUCGGGAAGAAAUGCUCUGGGCUAAUACCCCGGGGGGAUGACGGUACCGGAAGAAUAAGCACCGGCUAACUACGUG
rnacentral:rRNA from 1 species